rnacentral:rRNA from 1 species
ACGAACGCUGGCGGCAUGCCUAACCCCUGCCGGUCGAACGAGACCUUCGGGUCUAGUGGCGCACGGGUGCGUAACGCGUGGGAACCUGCCCUUAGGUUCGGAAUAACUCCCCGAAAGGGGUGCUAAUACCGGAUAAUGUCUUCGGACCAAAGAUUUAUCGCCUUUGGAUGGGCCCGCGUUGGAUUAGCUAGUUGGUAGGGUAAAAGCCUACCAAGGCGACGAUCCAUAGCUGGUCUGAGAGGAUGAUCAGCCACACUGGGACUGAGACACGGCCCAGACUCCUACGGGAGGCAGCAGUGGGGAAUAUUGGACAAUGGGCGAAAGCCUGAUCCAGCAAUGCCGCGUGAGUGAUGAAGGCCUUAGGGUUGUAAAGCUCUUUUACCCGGGAUGAUAAUGACAGUACCGGGAGAAUAAGCGCCGGCUAACUCCGUG